rnacentral:tRNA from 1 species
AAUCUUUUAUUAUAAUAAGUAUAUUUAACUUCCAAUUAAAUGGUUCAUUAAAAUGAAAAGAUUA